rnacentral:lncRNA from 1 species
UGGAAAUUUUCUAUAUACAUGAAUUGUAUUUUUUUUGUGUGUUGUUUUAAGAUUAUGUAUUUAUUAGGUAGGGAGAUUCAUAAAUUAUGUCACGCUUUCGGGGUAGUGUAUAGAUAUGAUAGAGUAAAUGACAGAAUAACUUCCUUAAAUUAUGAUAUCAUUCUUAAAAUGGUUAAUUCUUAUAUCUUUAUGACUAAACAAUGUUACAAAAUUAUAAAAAUAAUUAAUGGAAGCAGUGAAUUCUACGUCACUUUAAUUAGCACCACAAGCUCUGAUUUCUUCCCAGACAAUUCACAAUCCUAUUUAUAAGGAAAAUAAAUCCGCCGAUUCAAUUAAAUGGUAAUUGGCAAGUAUCUGUGGUCGAAUCAGUUAUACCGAGAUCUCGGUUUAAUAUUACGAAAGAAAAUAAUAAUUAUACUAUCAUUACUCGAGAGAAUAAAACCAAUAAAAGUGAAAGUUGACGAUGGAUCUGCUUUGAAUCCGUUACAUAUGAGAGGCCAACCCUCGACAGAUAUUUUUCCAAUAUAAAUAAUAAUAUAAAACUUUUAGGGAAAGCUGAUGUGGUUCAAUUUUCUUUCGAUAAAAAUACUAGUCUAUUGACUGUGAGAAUAAGUGAAAACGUGAAUUAUUAUUGACUCGACAAAUGUCUCCGGUUCUUUUAUCAAUGUUAAAUUUAAAUGAGCCGGAUGAAUACAUAAUAAAAGGUGAAGAUAUAUUCAAGUUUACUCGAUCGUUUCAAGACUUGUG